UACAGAGGUCUCAAGCGUUGUUCGGAUUCAUUGGGCGUAAAGCGCGCGUAGGCGGCUUUGUAAGUUAGAGGUGAAAGCCCGGGGCUCAACCCCGGAACUGCCUUUAAGACUGCAUCGCUUGAAUCCGGGAGAGGUGAGUGGAAUUCCGAGUGUAGAGGUGAAAUUCGUAGAUAUUCGGAAGAACACCAGUGGCGAAGGCGGCUCACUGGACCGGCAUUGACGCUGAGGUGCGAAAGCGUGGGGAGCAAACAGG
rnacentral:rRNA from 1 species